AGGGAUUCCCCCAGUAGUGGCGAAUGAAGCGGGAAAAGCUCAAGUUUGAAAUCUGAAGUCCACUUCAGAGUUGUAAGCUGAAGAGGUGUCGACCGACUUGGUCCGGGCCCAACUUCCUUGGAACAGGAGGUCAUGGAGGGUGAGAACCCCGUCUGUGGCUCGGGUGCCGUAGUCCUUGUGUCGUGCCCUCGAAGAGUCGGGUUGUUUGGGAAUGCAGCUCAAAAUGGGUGGUAAAUUUCAUCUAAGGCUAAAUAUUGGCGAGAGACCGAUAGCAAACAAGUAGAGUGAUCGAAAGACGAAAAGUACUUUGAAAAGAGAGUGAAACAGUACGUGAAAUUGUUGAAAGGGAAGCGUUUGGCAUCAG
rnacentral:rRNA from 1 species